rnacentral:lncRNA from 1 species
AAAGUAACACAAGACUCAGCUGCUUUCUGAUAUCCCUUAGUACACACUCUGGUAAACAACUUAACCUCAGCUGUCUGGAGUUUUCCUUAGAACCUGUAAUAUGCAAUCGCCCUGGAGUGCAGCCUUUCUCCUUUGUGCUCACAGAGGAGGCCAAUCAGACCUCAGUUCUCCUCUGGUCUCCGACAAGAAUCCACAUUGUGGAUUUGCAGAGAGGUACCAUGAAGUAGCCGUCCAGUGGUUCUGUUUUAGAACCCGGGGUUCAGGCAGAGGAAGAGGACCACACCUUGCCUGAUGAAGAGGUGCCAAUUGUGUGGCAUUUUCCCAUGUUGGAAGAAGAUCCCGGCCCCAGACUUCCUAUGUGCUGAAUGCCGGUCCUACCUUGGGCUGAUGACAUGCAAAGCAAACUCCAGUGGGAUUUCUUGACAGAGCCUUAUCUUGGGAAGGAGAAGCCAUCCAGAGUUCCAGGAGCUGGGUUUCAUUGUUAUCCCUCCUGGACCAGGAGCCACCUACCAGGUCUCUCCAUAGAAGGAAGAAACGAAGUUGCUGCCUUGAUAAAAGUAGUGAGGUUUGGGGGCUCAGGCAUGAUAUUGGGGACAGCAUGA